rnacentral:rRNA from 2 species
ACGCGAAGAACCUUACCAGGUCUUGACAUCCUCUGACAACUCUAGAGAUAGAGCGUUCCCCUUCGGGGGACAGAGUGACAGGUGGUGCAUGGUUGUCGUCAGCUCGUGUCGUGAGAUGUUGGGUUAAGUCCCGCAACGAGCGCAACCCUUGAUCUUAGUUGCCAGCAUUAAGUUGGGCACUCUAAGGUGACUGCCGGUGACAAACCGGAGGAAGGUGGGGAUGACGUCAAAUCAUCAUGCCCCUUAUGACCUGGGCUACACACGUGCUACAAUGGAUGGUACAAAGGGCUGCAAGACCGCGAGGUCAAGCCAAUCCCAUAAAACCAUUCUCAGUUCGGAUUGUAGGCUGCAACUCGCCUACAUGAAGCUGGAAUCGACUAGUAAUCGCGGAUCAGCAUGCCGCGGUGAAUACGUUCCCGGGCCUUGUACACACCGCCCGU